GCUGGGCGUGUUGGCGUGCGCCUGUAGUCCCAGCUACUUGGGAGGCUGAGGCAGAAGAAUCGCUUGAAUCCAGGAGGCAGAGGUUGCAGUGAGCCAAGAUCUUGCCACUGCACUCCAGCCUGGGUGACAGAGCAAGACUCUGUCUCAA
ensembl:misc_RNA Metazoa_SRP Metazoan signal recognition particle RNA